rnacentral:lncRNA from 1 species
GAGUUAUCCACCAUUACAAGUUCCCCAACCUGCAAAGGAGGACUGGUAUUUUGCUGAAUCUUUGUAAUUCACCAAUUUAUCUACUAUACUUUAUUGUGGAAGAUUAUUCAUUUUCUCAAGCUGUAAUAAAAGAUUUUCUCUAUUUCUUUUCCCAAUCAGCAUUCUCAACGCUAUGCCCUGAAACUCUGUUACAAAUCAUCCAAAAAUGGCCAUGCACUGUGGCUCAAACUUGUAAUACCAGCACUUUGGGUGUAGUGGUGUGUGCCUGUGGUCUCAG